CCUCCUCCGCCUGACCACACUGUGGGGCCAAGGCGCGGGUUUUUCUUUCCUUUCCCAGAAGAGGAGUCUCCAGGUAAACCACUGAACACAAGGGUCCUUGAAGCUUGUUUCUACUCCUCUGUAAUCACUGCAGAAAAUUGGUUCUAUUUUUAUAAAUCUUGCAUCAGAGCCCUUCAAGGCCAGGGUUUCCCUGGAGCUUGCUGAAUAAGAUAGUCCCCAAGCACCUCCAGAAGCAAGCCAACCAGGCAGAGCUGGCCUGGGACUAUAGCACAGCCACUAGCGGGGAACUGUGCUUAUAAACAGUGUGCUCACCUGCCUAGCCCAAUCCAUGCUUCAGGAAGACCUGCAGAGGAUGGCUCUGGGAAGAGCCCUGACCCUUCAGUGCCACUGGAUUUGGUAGAUGUUACAGUGGGGAGGGGCUAUUGUCAUUCUCAAAAUACCGAUCCCUAACUGUGGAGGUCCUGUGAACUGGGCUCUGCUCCCUGGGCAGGACCAGAGUAAACUGGUGUGGAUUCCGACAAUGGCAGGAGGAGACAUCAUGGCCCCCAAGCUAGCCAGGACUCUCCUUCUCUCACAGCAUCCUUCCAGGAGGAACACCUGCAAAGCAUGGGUCCUUUGAGUGAAACACGUCAGCCAAAGCAGGAAGGAUCAUCCCCCUGUGACCUCCGGGUUUGGAAUGACAUCAGCUCCUACUGCAAUCACCCGGGACCGGCAGAAGCAUUUCCUCGGCAGACUUAAUCAUGAGAAUUUGUUUAGAAAGGUCCAGGAAACACAGUUGGAAGACACAGGG
rnacentral:lncRNA from 1 species